UCCGGUCUGCUUAAGGUGAUUGCUCUCCCAUAGGCACCAAUGCAUUAGCAGCUGGGUUUGGUCUGUUCAGCUCAUUGACUGUAUAUGAAUCAGAAGAAACUAGUGGGUGGAAUGUGUCGCUUUCUCUUCCCUCUGUCUAUAUACAAAGAGGUAGACAGGGUCAGAGGGACUGUCCUGGUGACCACUUCCUCUCCAGCGGCCAGUCGUCUGGUCCAGGUGUGUGUGAAUCUGGCGUAGACAGGGUCAGAGGGACUGACUUCCUGUCCUGGUGACCACUUCCUCUCCAGCGGCCAGUCUCCUGUACAGAUCGCUGAGGUCGUCUGGUCCAGGUGUGUGUGAAUCUGGCGUAGACAGGGUCAGAGGGACUGACUUCCUGUCCUGGUGACCACUUCCUCUCCAGCGGCCAGUCUCCUGUACAGAUCGCUGAGGUCGUCUGGUCCAGGUGUGUGUGAAUCUGGCGUAGACAGGGUCAGAGGGACUGACUUCCUGUCCUGGUGACCACUUCCUCUCCAGCGGCCAGUCUCCUGUACAGAUCGCUGAGGUCGUCUGGUCCAGGUGUGUGUGAAUCUGGCGUAGACAGGGUCAGAGGGAC